CUUGAUCGAUCCCAGUCGCAGCGCCCGCUCCCGCGCACGGUCCUGACCGUAGGUCGCCAACAGCGCCUGGGCCUC
rnacentral:antisense_RNA from 1 species